AUGUCAAUCAAUCAUAUAGUCUAUGAUAAAAUAAAAUGAACUUUUUUAAGCUUAAAAAAUGUCACCAGCCAAAAUGGUUCAGGUUCCCUAAACUUUGCAUUUGGUAUGUAGGGCACCAAAUAACAACGUUUAGCCCAUGACAUCUCCAUGAUUGCAUACAGCCAUACACGUCUUUGUCAUAGCACCCACCAUUACCAUCACUUGCAUUAGCCCCCCCUCCUAGAAAUGUUGUCUCCAUCUCAGCUUCAUCAAUCUCACACAUACAUGUGUUAUCUUGUUAUAAUUCUCUCAUUUUGAGUACUUUUGUUUCUUUCUUUUUUAUCAAAUGGAUAUCUCCAAAUGCUCAUCUUCACCUUCAUUGCCUGAGUCAUCUUCCUCUCCUAAAAGAAUUCAGAGAGUGUCUAAGUUUGUUUCUGACCGACUUCUCGACAAAUUUUUUGAUGCAACUGAGUUUGAUUUUGAUUACGAGCAAAGUGGAAUAUGGUCUCCUCCCAUUAGAAGAAGCGCAUUCUUGAGCUCACCGGGAAGGAUAUUCACCGAAGAGGAAAUGCUUGAAAAACUUGGAAAUGUAAUGGAUGCUCGUCGUGCUAGAAGACAUAAUAAAGCAUGUUGUAAUGUAUGGCACUGGUAGUGUGCUGCUUUUGAAUUUUGAAAAUGGUUGAAGAGACUCACUCUCACCUAAUCUCCCCGAAGGCUGAGAGAGUCAUGGGCAAAAUUAGAAGGAGGAAAAGAAAAGAUAAAAAGCUUUGAAAUUUAACUUCUCGCAUUAAUUUUAAUUAGUCUUCUCUAUGAGAUGUAUAUACUACUUUUUUUUAAAAAAAAUAUAUAUAAAGGUUAUAUAAUUAAAGAGAAUACAAAAAUUAGUUCGCAUGCUAUAUUUCUCCCCUUAAAUAUAUAGUACCUUUGCCUCCUAUUUUGCUUUUCAUUUUUGAAAUUAAUAUCUCUAGGUCCUCUAUGUGCCUUUUAAUUAAAUACCACCUAACUUUGUCCCAAGAGAUUUAUUACAUAUGCUCUCUCCUAUGUAGCAAGCCUGCACAUCCACAUCAGCACACAUUGCUCCAAGCCUGAUAUGAAGCUUUCAAGAGAUAUUCACUAUCCAAAGAAAAUGAUAUUGGAGAGUUGCUUUCCCGAUAUCGAAAUUACUUGACAUUUUAUCAAUUUGUAAUAUAUAUACACACACCUACUGUUUUUUUUUUUUUCAUUUUAAUAAAGAAAAAGAAGAAGAAAUAAAAAACAAAA